CCCUUAGAUGUUCUGGGCCGCACGCGCGCUACACUGAUGCAUUCAACGAGUCUAAAACCUGCUCUGAUAGGGGUGGGUAAUCUUUUGAAUGUGCAUCGUGAUUGGGAUAGAUGAUUGCAAUUUUUCAUCUUCAACGAGGAAUGCCUAGUAAACGCAAGUCAUCAGCUUGCAUUGAUUACGUCCCUGCCCUUUGUACACGCCGCCCGUCGCUCCUACCGAUUGAAUGAUCCGAUGAAUAUCAUGGAUUGAGGAUGCAAGCAGGUUCGCCUGUCUUCAUCUUCGAGAAGUGAAGUAAAUCUUAUCAUUUAGAGGAAGGAGAAGUCGUAACA
rnacentral:rRNA from 1 species